UCUCCGUUGGUGAACCAGCGGAGGGAUCAUUACAGGACUCGCAAGACUCCUACAACCCUGUGAACUUAACUAUAAGCACGUUGCUUCGGCGGGUGUCUCGGAGGGGGUUCUCCCUCCCCGAGACGCUAAACCCGCCGGCAGCCUACUAUACUCUGUCUCUUUGCGUUGGCAUCUCGAGUACAAUCAAACAAGUUAAAACUUUCAACAACGGAUCUCUUGGUUCUGGCAUCGAUGAAGAAUGCAGC
rnacentral:misc_RNA from 1 species